GCCCAAUUUCGCACGUGCCUGUGGUCGUGUGUCAGUCGGUAGGUAUCCGGACAAGAGGCCGGACAGCCGCCAAGGGAUGAAGAAGCCGAGGGUCGUUCGCGGAGUUUUGCGAAAGGCCAGCAUCUCUCUCCAGAGAUGCCGUUGAAGGUGACUUUGUUCUUUGCAACCGUGACUGGCAGCCGGAGGCGAACCGGCGCACCUCGUUCUCAACGGGGGACGCGACUUAAAGCAACGACGGAGCGGGCUUUU
rnacentral:sRNA from 1 species